rnacentral:rRNA from 1 species
CCUACGGGUGGCAGCAGUGGGGAAUAUUGCACAAUGGGCGAAAGCCUGAUGCAGCAACGCCGCGUGAACGAAGAAGGCUCUUGGGUCGUAAAGUUCUGUUCUGAGGGAAGAAGAAAGUGACGGUACCUCAGGAGAAAGCCCCGGCUAACUACGUGCCAGCAGCCGCGGUAAUACGUAGGGGGCAAGCGUUGUCCGGAAUUAUUGGGCGUAAAGGGAGCGUAGACGGCUGAGCAAGCCUGAAGUGAAAGGCGGGGGCCCAACCCCCGGACUGCUUGGGGAACUGUACGGCUGGAGUGCAGGAGAGGUAAGUGGAAUUCCUAGUGUAGCGGUGAAAUGCGUAGAUAUUAGGAGGAACACCAGUGGCGAAGGCGGCUUACUGGACUGUAACUGACGUUGAGGCUCGAAAGCGUGGGGAGCAAACAGGAUUAGAUACCCGAGUAGUC